rnacentral:tRNA from 1 species
GCGGAAGUAGCUCAGCGGUAGAGCACCACCUUCCCAAGGUGGGGGUCGCGGGUUCGAGUCCAGCCUUCCGCUCCA